UACUAACCUUAUUAAAACAUAGAGGACUAUGGGCUAGGCUACAUGAGGUGUGAUACUAACCUUAUUAAAACAUACAGGACUAUGGACUAGGCUACAUGAGGUGUGAUACUAACCUUAUUAAAACAUACAGGACUAUGGGCUAGGCUACAUGAGGUGUGAUACUAACCUUAUUAAAACAUAGAGGACUAUGGGCUAGGCUACAUGAGGUGUGAUACUAACUGUAUUAAAACAUACAGGACUAUGGGCUAGGCUACAUGAGGUGUGAUACUAACCUUAUUAAAACAUACAGGACUAUGGACUAGGCUACAUGAGGUGUGAUACUAACCGUAUUAAAACAUACAGGACUAUGGGCUAGGCUACAUGAGGUGUGAUACUAACCUUAUUAAAACAUACAGGACUAUGGGCUAGGCUACAUGAGGUGUGAUACUAACCUUAUUAAAACAUAUAGGACUAUGGGUUAGGCUACAUGAGGUGUGAUACUAACCUUAUUAAAACAUAUAGGACUAUGGGCUAGGCUACAUGAGGUGUGAUACUAACCUUAUUAAAACAUACAGGACUAUGGGCUAGGCUACAUGAGGUGUGAUACUAACCUUAUUAAAACAUAGAGGACUAUGGGUUAGGCUACAUGAGGUGUGAUACUAACCUUAUUAAAACAUAUAGACCUAUGGGCUAGGCUACAUGAGGAGUGAUACUAACCUUAUUAAAACAUACAGGACUAUGGGCUAGGCUACAUGAGGAGUGAUACUAACCUUAUUAAAACAUACAGGACUAUGGGCGAGGCUACAUGAGGUGUACAACUAUGAUUGGAAAAAGUCGCAAAAAAAGGCAUUGUUUCUUACGCUGGGCAUCAUUCACAAGUGAUAAUAUAUCAUUCACAAGUGAUCCCCCAUCAGACUAUUCUUGAUUGAAUCUGGUCUUUACAUAUAGUAAAUAAUAUAUGUGUGACAUUUGUUUUCAUUUAGAAUGGACCAUUAUCAUGCACCUUCAUUGAAGGUGGGAAAAAAUACACAGCUUUUACCUGUGGUUCAUUUUCAUGCCAGCCAGGUAGGCUAUACUCCUGUUGUAAAUAUAAGCAAUGUGCUUGAUAUUAGGAAUGUUGAGAGAUAAAUAUAGUAGGCCUAGCCAGUAGAAAGCUUUUUAGUAGAGGCCAUCACUCUGUUUUCUGGCUCAAAAGGGUAGCCUAUAGAAAUGUUGCGCAACAUGAACUCAUGGGCUCUCAUGAAGUGUUUGAUUAGAUUUUCGAUCACAUUUGCAUUGAUGUCAGAAUGGUUAGAGGGACAAUAGAGUACUGAGUACCAGGCAGUUAGCAAGUAUGGUAGGCUACUAAUGACCAUCAGCAUCAUCAGAGCUUGGAGAAGCCUAAUCACUGUGAAUAAAUGGUGAUGUGGAAUUCGACUGCCUUCAUGACUCGUGACCACCGGUGUGGCGGUAAUACAGUCACAGCAACAGCCCUAGACAUGAAACCCCAUUUUGGCACUAAUGGAGACAGCAGCCCAACCCUGUUUCUGCUAGUUUGUUCAGUGACUCAAAGGGCUUGCUGAUACUGGGACGCCAUUACUGC